rnacentral:tRNA from 1 species
GGAGCGGUGGGUGAGUGGCUGAAACCAACGGUUUGCUAAACCGUCGUACUGGGAAACCGGUACCGAGGGUUCGAAUCCCUCCCGCUCCG